rnacentral:rRNA from 1 species
UACGGAGGAUGCGAGCGUUAUCCGGAUUUAUUGGGUUUAAAGGGUGCGCAGGCGGAAUGUCAAGUCAGCGGUAAAAUUACGGGGCUCAACCCCGACAAGCCGUUGAAACUGGCUGUCUUGAGAUGUCGAGAGGUAUGCGGAAUGCACAGUGUAGCGGUGAAAUGCAUAGAUAUCGCGCAGAACUCCGAUUGCGAAGGCAGCAUGCCGGCUCCACACUGACGCUGAGGCACGAAAGCGUGGGUAUCGAACAGG